AUCUAGUUGACGAGUCCCAAAGAGGACGAAACGCGUGUCCUGCAU
rnacentral:hammerhead_ribozyme from 1 species